GUGACUUCCUUUAAUGAGGAAAAGUAAGUAAAAUAAACCCUUUCCUCUCCAAGUUACUUUCAGUCAUGGAGUUUCUUUCACAAUAGAAAUCUUAACUAAGACAGGCCACAAUAACUCCAUUAUCCUAAGAUACUUCUAUCAGUGUGUAUUAUCACUGUAACAGGAAGAGGAACUAAGACAGCAUUAUUCUUGCCUUACUGCAUCUCUGCCCCUCAAGAGAUAGUGCCGAUGUAGAAGCCGAUCCAAAGACAACCAGAAGACAGAUGAGACAGGCCCAGUGUCUAGUCUGGAUUCGAAAUGAAUACUAACUAAGUCUAGAAAGUCAUCCCCCUCCACAAACACAUACAUAACGCUUAAGAGUCCAACACAUUUGCCCAUUUUCAUUCUGAAGAUAUUUCUUCUUGCUAGUUCUUGAAGCCACACUGCUCUUUCACUAGUUCACUUCUGCGAUGACAUUUAAAUUACUUUUAUUUUCUUAACUUACAGAAAAAUUUAUCAUGGAUGCACAGUUCCACCUACUGCCAUGCAGCCCAGGCAGGUGAAAGACAUUCACUGGCCAACCUGGAUCCUCAUAGUCUGUGCUGGCUGAAGGCAUUCACAGGUCCACCUGGUGGCACAAGGUGGGGCUGGCUGAACAAAAGGAAUAAUGCAUGACACACCACAGCUCCCAAUGCCACUAGGACAAAUGAAGAGGUGUUGGAGAGUGAGAAUGAUCAGAACAAACAAGAGACAGCAACCCUUUGCCUUCCACUCUGACUUCCCGCCUCCACAUAAAGUAAAACCAAGGAGGCUGCAAAGCUCUUCCUUCUGUUGCUGUAAUCAUAAUGAAAAGCAGAGCCUGUGUUUCCUGUAUCUUCUGAGGCCAUAAGUCAUUAUGCUGUCAUAGAAGCAGACAAUUGCUUCAAGGCCCACCUGUGGGAAAUCCCUGCAAGCGAGGAGGCUCCAUGAGCCUUCUGGUGACUACUUCAACACAGCGGCCUGGGACUCAGCCUCUGACUACAUUUAUUCUUAGGUGACGGAAACAGCAACUCUGGUAGUUUCAGAGACUAUUCAGGCUUGGAAAGUGGGGUACUUGACAGAAAACAUGGCAUAUCAUAAAGGUCAGAGGCGACUGUGUUCUUAUAUUCUGUUGCUCUGUGACAAACUGCCAUAAUCUAAUGACUUAAAAUGACACAAAUGUGGUUACUAUGGGUCAGGAUUCUGGACUAAGCCUACAUAUAUUUUCAGCCCAAAGUCUUGCAAAUCUAGAAUUGAGGUGCUUUGAAAUGACCCUCACUGGGGGGGGGGACUCCUAAUGGUGUCUGAGACAGAAUUGCUGGCCACCCAGAUGUGCCAAGGGCUAAGAAUGGGCCUUAACUCAAUGUACAGAAAAUGCAUGUCUUACUCAUUGUGUUCAUAUAUGGAGGCUUUAAAUAAAAACUAGCUACAUUUUCAUUCCUAAUACACUCUAUACUAUGAACUCUUGGAAGCUGGGGUAUUUCUUUCUUGCACACUUUUUUUUUUCCUUCAGAUCUUUACACACUGCCUGGAGCAUCUAGAGAGGGAUUCAAUAAAUAUUUGCCAAAUGAGUGAAUGACUUUUGUGUGUUCAACACAUGUUUGCUGAACUAAAUGGAACCAGUUCUAAAAAACAUUAUGUAAUACAUGAAUGGUGAGUAUCACUGUGGCUGUUAAGUAAAGACAAUCUUGGAAACAAAUCAAAUAAUAGCACAGCUAGAACUUUUUCAUUCUAUCUAGAGGAAAUACUCCUUUCUCGUUGAAAUAUGGCCUUGAAAUGUAAACUCUGGCACAUUAUAAACUAUGUGACUCAGCCUUUUCAUCUUCUAGGAUCAAGAGGGUUGGGGAAUGAAAGACAAAUAGAA